UACGAAGGGGGCUAGCGUUGUUCGGAAUUACUGGGCGUAAAGCGCACGUAGGCGGAUUGCUAAGUCAGGGGUGAAAUCCUGGAGCUCAACUCCAGAACUGCCUUUGAUACUGGCGAUCUCGAGUCCGGGAGAGGUGAGUGGAACUGCGAGUGUAGAGGUGAAAUUCGUAGAUAUUCGCAAGAACACCCGUGGCGAAGGCGGCUCUCUCGGAACGCAACUGACGCUGAGACGCGAAAGCGUGGGGAGCAAACAGG
rnacentral:rRNA from 1 species